UGGUGAACAGCAAAUGUUGCUGCCUGAUC
rnacentral:piRNA from 1 species